GCGCCGGUAGUGUAUGGCACACGCACCAAAUUCGUAAUGGUGACUCUUUGUCGUGAACCUGAGCGGCGACCCGGGGUUCGAUUCCCCGCCGGUGCA